rnacentral:rRNA from 1 species
AUUGAACGCUGGCGGCGUGCUUAACACAUGCAAGUCGAGCGGAGCGGCGAACGGGUGAGUAACGCGUGAGUAACUGCCCCCCUCUCUGGGAUAACAGUUGGAAACGGCUGCUAAUUCCAGAUAGUGGGGGAUGACUCGCGUCCUAUCCGCUUGUUGGUGGGGUAGGGGCCUACCAAGGCGACGACGGGUAGCCGGCCUGAGAGGGCGACCGGCACCAUUGGGCUGGGAUACGGCCCAAACUCCUACGGGAGGAAGCAGUGGGGAAGAGUGAACAAUGGGGGAAACCCUGAUGCAGAAACGCGCGUGCGGGAUGACGGCCUUCGGGUUGUAAACCGCUUUCAGCCAUGACGCGGUAGUGGCAGAAGAAGCACCGGCUAACUACGUGCCAGCAGCCGCGGUAAUAC